ensembl:lncRNA SNHG14 small nucleolar RNA host gene 14
AGGCUAAUUUUUGUGUUUUUAGUAGAGAUGGGGUUUCACCAUGUUGGCCGGGCUGGUCUCGAACUCCUGACCUUAAGUGAUCUGCCUGCAUCAGCCUCCCAAAGUGCUGGGAUUACAAGCAUGAGCCACCAUGCCCAGCCAAGUACAGACUUUUUCUUUGGUUAUUAUUCCCUAAAACAGUACAGUAUAACAACUAUUUACGCAGCAUUUACAUUGUAUUCAGCAUCAUGAGUAAUCUAGAAAUGAUUUCCUGCAUAUAGGAGGAUGUACAUAGGUUCUAUGCCAAUAGUGCACAGUGCUCGCUGUGUUUAAAGAAAUAUCCUAGGUAUAGAAUAAAUAAUUUUGAAGUCAGUGUGUUGAGAAAACACUGACAUGGAUAGAAAAUAUUCUGUCUAGAAUAGAAAAAACAAUAGAAUAGAAAAAGUUCUAUCUGUAUCAGUCUGAUCAAAGAUGUGAGCAUAAUUAUUCUUGUCAUACAUAUAGUCUAAUGAAUGUCUAAAGUGAAUUCUUAUAACUGCUUGUAACAAAAUAUUUCAUUUGGCAAAUGUUAUUUCACAACUUUCCUAAUUGCCCAUGUACUUUGUAGAUUGGUUUUCACAGAAUUCCAUGGACUUUAACUGCUGAACCAAUGAUGCACUGAUUUUGUCACUUGUACCAGCUAACGCAUCUGGGAGGCAACAAAACAAUACUCUCCUGAGGUUAAUGUGGACCAAAAACUAGAUUUCAUAUAAAAGAGUUUAUUCCUUCUACUUGAGGUGUGACAUGAAGGAAAGUAAUGGAAAUAAUUCUGCCCUCCCAUUCUCAAGGGCCAGGGGGAAUUCAAAUAUUGAACGGAAGUGAUUUUGGAAUUGCAUGGAAUUCUCACUGCCAUCCCAAAGAAAUGCUGAUCUUGUCACUCUUACCUGUUUCAUUCCCUGGGGGCAGAACAAAAGGACGCACUCCAAAGAUCGGCAUGAACCAAGAACUGGGUUUCAUAUAAAAUAUUUUAUUCUGUCCUCUUGAGAUGUGACAUGAGAAAAGUAUUGAGAAUACUUCUAUCACCUCAUCUUCAAGAAUCCGUAGGAAUUCUCCCAUGGUGGACUUUACGGUUAACCUGAACAGGUCUUGGAAAAAGGACUUUAAACAUUCUCCUGUUCUGUGGAAUAAGUAUACUUUUUUCUGGACAUACACCUUGUCAGUGAGUAUGUAUCAUAAUUCCUCAUAACUUCUUAUCAGGAAACAUUCGAUGUAGAAGAUUUCUUUCUCAACUUCUCUAAUUGCCCCUGUGGUUUGCAGGUUCCAUGUGAUACUAGAGUUGCAUAGAUUUUUAACCUUUACGCCAAUGAAGAUCUGAGGCAAACAUUGCCCCUUUUUUAGAAGUUUGCAUUUGUCACUGAUAACUGUAAUAAUUGAUCUUGUUGAAAAGCCUGGGAAAUGAAGAUCUGAUAUGUCACUUUUACCGGCUUCCUCAACUGAAAAAGAAUACAAUGAAACACGCUGAGAAUUUUUGUGCUUUCUCAGUCUUGCUGAUGAUCUUUCUAUGGGCCUGAAGCGUGGAGAGUGCCAGAGAGGCUGAUCCUCAGCAGUGUGGCAGAGGAAAGUUGGGUGCGACUAAGGGGUAUGCGGUGCCCACAUGCCACUGGGUCCUCAGCAGUACCACCUGGUGAGCGUCACUCUUGAGAGCUGAGAGUAGGUGGGAAGCAGCUCAUGGUGAGAGGGUUCAGAGGCCGCCUUUCCCUCUCUGCGCACUGCCCAGUUC